UGACUCGCUUGCAAUAUUAAAACGCCCAUCAACAGGCACCUACACACGCUCGUUUUGUCAAUGGUCUCACACCCCUCUCCUCCCGCCCUCCCUACCUUUCCCUCACUCCUUCUCCUCCCCUUCCCCACACCACCAACAGGUGAAUGCGAGCAUGGGUAGCGUUCUCACCGCCCUCAUGUUCCUUCUGCUGUGGGGGACACGUGUGGACCUGCUCCGCCAGGCGCGGAGUUGGACCCAUCCCAGCAUCUACAUCGACAUCAUUCUGGGAGGGACCGAGUCUAGAGAUAAGAUCGGUGAUCUGACUCGAUUUGAAUCCCUCUCGAGCCAACAUCAGCUGCACAUUCGCACGCACACCUUGAACGAGACGAGUCCCAAGGGCUUGGUCAAGCAGCUCUGCGCCACGGUCGCUUCCAACAAGACCCACGGCAUGAUAUACGCUGACAACAGGAGCCAGGAGGCCACCGCCCAGAUCCUGGAUUUCGUUUCUUCACAAACACGCGUCCCUUUCAUCGGCAUCAAUGGUGGCGCGUCGGUGGUCAUGAGCGGAAAGACAAGUGGAUCAAUACACGUGGAUCAACUGCUUGGUCACCUCGUUCGCGUGACCUGUCCCCAUUGGACUACAUUUUAUGGUGCUAUGUUAUGUAAAACUGUUGUUUAUUCAUCAAAACCACAUUAUUUGUAUGAACUUCGUGCAUCGAUCACAAACGAAAUGAAUGAAAUUAUUCAGCAGCAACUGGAGAAUGUUUUCAACAUGUUGGAAAAUCAGAUUGAACAAAGUAUUAUGAAAGAUGGCGGUUAUGUUGAAGGCUAAAAAUUAGAACUGGAUUGAGUAAAAACUUUGUGAAUUAUUCUUUCUUGUCCCAUUUAUAGUUUGUUUCUAUCUUGUAAUACAUCCAAAGUUAUAAAAGUUCGAAGUUGCACAAAGACAUUUUAGACACCCUGUCGUUUUAUUCAGGAAGAAUACAAGUUGAACAAAAAAAAAGAAAGGCAUAAAAUGUCAUCGCCCU
ensembl:lincRNA